AUUGAACGCUGGCGGCAGGCCUAACACAUGCAAGUCGAGCGGAGCGGCGGACGGGUGAGUAAUGCCUAGGAAUCUGCCUGGUAGUGGGGGAUAACGUCCGGAAACGGGCGCUAAUAACGCAUACUAUCAAAUGAGCCUAGGUCGGAUUAGCUAGUUGGUGGGGUAAAGACCUACCAAGGCGACGAUCCGGAACUGGUCUGAGAGGAUGAUCAGUCACACGGGACCUGAAAAACGGUCCAGACUCCUACGGGAGGCAGAAGUGGGGAAUGUUGCACAUUGGGCGCAAUCCGGAUGCAGCCAUGCCGCGUGUAUGAAGAAGGCCUUCGGGUUUUAAAGUACGUUCAGCGGGGAGGCGUUACCCGCAGAAGAAGCACCGGCUAACUCCGUGCCAGCAGCCGCGGUAAUUC
rnacentral:rRNA from 1 species